GCGAGCGGGGGAAGGUAGCUUGCUACUGGACCUAGCGGCGGACGGGUGAGUAAUGCUUAGGAAUCUGCCUAUUAGUGGGGGACAACAUUCCGAAAGGAAUGCUAAUACCGCAUACGUCCUACGGGAGAAAGCAGGGGACCUUCGGGCCUUGCGCUAAUAGAUGAGCCUAAGUCGGAUUAGCUAGUUGGUGGGGUAAAGGCCUACCAAGGCGACGAUCUGUAGCGGGUCUGAGAGGAUGAUCCGCCACACUGGGACUGAGACACGGCCCAGACUCCUACGGGAGGCAGCAGUGGGGAAUAUUGGACAAUGGGGGGAACCCUGAUCCAGCCAUGCCGCGUGUGUGAAGAAGGCCUUAUGGUUGUAAAGCACUUUAAGCGAGGAGGAGGCUACUAGUAUUAAUACUACUGGAUAGUGGACGUUACUCGCAGAAUAAGCACCGGCUAACUCUGUGCCAGCAGCCGCGGUAAUACAGAGGGUGCGAGCGUUAAUCGGAUUUACUGGGCGUAAAGCGUGCGUAGGCGGCCAUUUAAGUCAAAUGUGAAAUCCCCGAGCUUAACUUGGGAAUUGCAUUCGAUACUGGAUGGCUAGAGUAUGGGAGAGGAUGGUAGAAUUCCAGGUGUAGCGGUGAAAUGCGUAGAGAUCUGGAGGAAUACCGAUGGCGAAGGCAGCCAUCUGGCCUAAUACUGACGCUGAGGUACGAAAGCAUGGGGAGCAAACAGGAUUAGAUACCCUGGUAGUCCAUGCCGUAAACGAUGUCUACUAGCCGUUGGGGCCUUUGAGGCUUUAGUGGCGCAGCUAACGCGAUAAGUAGACCGCCUGGGGAGUACGGUCGCAAGACUAAAACUCAAAUGAAUUGACGGGGGGCCCGCACAAGCGGUGGAGCAUGUGGUUUAAUUCGAUGCAACGCGAAGAACCUUACCUGGGNCNUGACAUACUAGAAACUUUUCCAGAGAUGGAUUGGUGCCUUCGGGAAAUCUAGAUACAGGUGCUGCAUGGG
rnacentral:rRNA from 1 species